rnacentral:rRNA from 1 species
AAUAUUUGACAAUGGGCGAAAGCCUGAUCCAGCCAUGCCGCGUGUGUGAAGAAGGUCUUCGACUUGUAAAGCACUUUAAGUUGGGAGGAAGGGCUGUAGCUUAAUACUCUGCAAUUUUGACGUUACCAUCAGAAUAAGCACCGUCUAACUUCUUGCCAGCAGCCGCGGUAAUACGAAGGGUGCAAGCGUUAAUCGGAAUUACUGGGCGUAAAGCGGGCGUAGGUGGUUUGUCAAGUUGGAAGUGAAAGCCCCGGGCUCAACCUGGGAACGGCUUUCAAAACUGGCAAGCUAGAGUAUGGCAGAGGGUGGUGGAAUUUCCUGUGUAGCGGUGGAAUGCGUAGAUAUAGGAAGAAACACCAGUGGCGAAGGCGACUACCUGGACUGAUACUGACACUGAGGUGCGAAAGCGUGGGGAGCAAAC